UUUUCGGUGGUGGUGGUGAGCGGGCUUUUCGUCGGCCUCCCCCCCCCUCCAACGGCACCGCCUGAUCCACGCCGCCCUCAGCGCCGAACUGGCCGGCCCCCUGCACGCCCUCGCCAUCGUCGCCAAGACCCCCCAGCAGUGGGAACAAGACCCCCACGUCCCCCCCCGGCCCCCCUGCCUGGGGGGGUCCAAGCACGAGCGGCGCGGGGCCGGCGACGCCGCUUCGGCGUGAUGCUGAGCCCCUAAAUGGGGGUUUUGGGGGGGUUUUGGUCGUUUUAGGGUUUUUUUGGGGGUCGUUUUUAGGGUAUGGAGGAUCUGGGGGCGCAGCUUUUGGGGUGACCCCCCCCACACACCCAGCCCGCGCUGCGCCUUCCCAUUGAUCCCCUCCUAAAUUUUGGGGGGCGAUUUGGGGGAUUUUCAAUCCACUCCCAAAUUUUUGGGGGCGAUUUGGGGGAUUUUCAAUCCACUCCCAAAUUUUUUUGGGGGGCGAUUUGGAGGAUUUUCAAUCCCCUCCCAAAUUUUGGGGGGCGAUUUGGGGGAUUUUCUCCACGCCACCUUCAAGGCGUCCACCUCUUGCCCCCCCCCCCAUGUAAAUCUUCCCCCCCCCCAACCCUCAUCACGCCCCCCCGCAUCCCAAACCCCGACCCCAAAAAUAAACAGCUCCUGGUCCUGAUCCGAAGCGGCUCCGCUGGGUGUUAUUGGGGUAACACGGCGUAAGGGGGGGGGGGGGAUUUCAUUAUUUUUUUUGUCGUUUCCGUGGUUUUCAUCAUUUUUGUUGUUUUUUUUCUUUAAUUCUUUACAAACAUCUAAAAACUACAGCACGGCACGAACUGCAUACGGACAGAACUAGGGGUGUGCUCCGAGAAAAAGACCAGCUACAGCGAAAUGGGGGGGGGGCGCGAGGAAGAGGAGGAGGAGGAGGAGGAGGAAGA
rnacentral:lncRNA from 1 species